GACGAACGCUGGCGGCGCGCUUAACACAUGCAAGUCGAGCGAGAACCAUGGCUUCGGCCAUGGGGAUAGCGGCGAACGGGUGAGUAACACGUGAGUAAUCUGCCCUCGACACUGGGAUAGCCCGGGGAAACCCGGAUUAAUACCGGAUAGCCUCUAGAACUCUCGGGUUCUUGAGAAAAGAUGGCUUCGGCUUUCGGUUGAGGAGGAGCUUGCGGCGGAUUAGCUUGUUGGCGGGGAAAGGCCCACCAAGGCGACGAUCCGUAGCUGGUCUGAGAGGACGAUCAGCCACACUGGGACUGAGACACGGCCCAGACUCCUACGGGAGGCAGCAGUGGGGAAUCUUGCGCAA
rnacentral:rRNA from 1 species